rnacentral:rRNA from 1 species
GCGAAUGCCGUGCCAGCAGGCGGGGGAAUACGGAGGGUGCAAGCGUGAAACGGAAUUACUGGGCGUAAAGCGUGCGCAGGCGGCUUAUUAAGUCAGAUGUGAAAUCCCUAGGCUCAACCUAGGAACUGCAUUUGAAACUAAUAAACUAGAGUAUCGUAGAGGGAGGUAGAAUUCCAGGUGUAGCGGUGAAAUGCGUAGAUAUCUGGAGGAAUACCAGUGGCGAAGGCGACCUCCUGGACGAAAACUGACGCUCAAGCACGAAAGCAUGGGGAGCAAACAGGAUUAGAUACCCUGGUGGUC